GAACUUAAGCAUACCAAUGAGCGGAGGAAAAGAAACUAACAAGGAUUCCCCUAGUAACUGCGAGUGAAGCGGGAAGAGCUCAAAUUUAAAAUCUGGCAGCUGAUGGGCUUGUCCGAGUUGUAAUCUAGAGAAGUGUCUUCCGCGCUGGGACCGUGUACAAGUCUCUUGGAAUGGAGCAUCAUAGAGGGUGAGAAUCCCGUCUCUGACACGGAAUUUACCGGUGCUUUUGUGAUGCGCUCUCGAAGAGUCGAGUUGUUUGGGAAUGCAGCUCAAAAUGGGUGGUAAAUUCCAUCUAAAGCUAAAUACAGGCGAGAGACCGAUAGCGAACAAGUACCGUGAGGGAAAGAUGAAAAGGACUUUGAAAAGAGAGUUAAACAUUACGUGAAAUUGUUGAAAGGGAAACGAUUCAGGUCAGUCGCAUUAGCCAGUAAUCAACCCUCGCAAUUAACCUUGCUGGGCUUACUUUCUGGUUGAUGGGUCAGCAUCAAUUUUGACCGUCAGAGAAAGGCUUUGCGGGGAAUGUGACAUCUUCGGAUGUGUUAUAGCCCCAACUCGCAUGUGAUGGUCGGGAUUGAGGAACUCAGCACGCCUUUACAGGUCAGGGCCGCCAGAAUGGCCCAUGUAAACGUAGCUUAGGAUGCUGGCAUAAUGGCUUGAACCGACCCGUCUUGAAACACGGACCAAGGAGUCUAACAUGCCUGCGAGUGUUUGGGUGGAAAACCCGAGCGCGAAGUGAAAGUGAACUUGGUUGAGAUCCCUGUCGUGGGGAGCACCGACGCCCGGACCAGACCUUCUGUGACGGAUCUGCGGUAGAGCAUGCAUGUUGGGACCCGAAA
rnacentral:rRNA from 1 species